rnacentral:rRNA from 1 species
UGGGGAAUAUUGCACAAUGGGCGCAAGCCUGAUGCAGCCAUGCCGCGUGUAUGAAGAAGGCCUUCGGGUUGUAAAGUACUUUCAGCGAGGAGGAAGGCGUUGUGGUUAAUAACCACAACGAUUGACGUUACUCGCAGAAGAAGCACCGGCUAACUCCGUGCCAGCAGCCGCGGUAAUACGGAGGGUGCAAGCGUUAAUCGGAAUUACUGGGCGUAAAGCGCACGCAGGCGGUCUGUCAAGUCGGAUGUGAAAUCCCCGGGCUCAACCUGGGAACUGCAUCCGAAACUGGCAGGCUAGAGUCUUGUAGAGGGGGGUAGAAUUCCAGGUGUAGCGGUGAAAUGCGUAGAGAUCUGGAGGAAUACCGGUGGCGAAGGCGGCCCCCUGGACAAAGACUGACGCUCAGGUGCGAAAGCGUGGGGAGCAAACA